rnacentral:ncRNA from 2 species
UCCAUCACACGCGGGAGCGCACGCCCAGUGCGCUGAGAGGACGGCUGAGGGCCGUCGACCGUACGAACCUGACCGGGUAAUGCCGGCGUAGGGAGCAGAAAUCAUGACUGA